CAGUCGCGCGGGAAUACGUAGGUGGCAAGCGUUGUCCGGAAUUAUUGGGCGUAAAGGGCUCGCAGGCGGUUUCUUAAGUCUGAUGUGAAAGCCCCCGGCUCAACCGGGGAGGGUCAUUGGAAACUGGGAAACUUGAGUGCAGAAGAGGAGAGUGGAAUUCCACGUGUAGCGGUGAAAUGCGUAGAGAUGUGGAGGAACACCAGUGGCGAAGGCGACUCUCUGGUCUGUAACUGACGCUGAGGAGCGAAAGCGUGGGGAGCGAACAGGAUUAGAUACCCCAGUAGUCCCUGUCACUUAUACC
rnacentral:rRNA from 1 species